GUUGGGGCUUAAGAUAAGCCAUGCACGUCUAGUACAAACUAAAUGAUGGUGAAACUGCAAAUGGCUAAACAACGGUUAUGAUGUACCCGGGAGUUCCGAUGGAUAUUUCCAGUAACACUAGAACUAAUACAUGUCCCUGCGUUUAUUAGUUUCGCACAGUCCGUCGCUGAGUCAUGGUAAACAGUUGAUCGACUCGACGUCCCGGAACAGUUUCCGCCCCAUCAGCUUCGAUGGUUGGGUAUUGGCCUACCAUUGCAACAACGGGUAACGAGGAAUUAGGGUUUGAUUUCGGAGAGGGAGCCUGAGAAACGGCUACCACAUCUACGGAUGGCAGCAGGCGCGCAAAUUACCCAAUGCAGACACUGUGAGGUAGUGACGAGAAAUAAUAAAGCGGGACUUCUGUUUCGCUAUUAUAAUGAGGAAUAACCAAAGGUCAUUCCGAUUAGCAACUGAUGGGAAAGUCUGGUGCCAGCAGCCGCGGUAAUACCAGCGUCAGUAGC
rnacentral:rRNA from 1 species